rnacentral:rRNA from 1 species
GAUGAACGCUGGCGGCGUGCUUAACACAUGCAAGUCGAACGAAACACCUUAUUUGAUUUUCUUCGGAACUGAAGAUUUGGUGAUUGAGUGGCGGACGGGUGAGUAACGCGUGGGUAACCUACCCUGUACAGGGGGAUAACAGUCAGAAAUGACUGCUAAUACCGCAUAAGACCACAGCACCGCAUGGUGCAGGGGUAAAAACUCCGGUGGUACAGGAUGGACCCGCGUCUGAUUAGCUGGUUGGUGAGGUAACGGCUCACCAAGGCGACGAUCAGUAGCCGGCUUGAGAGAGUGAACGGCCACAUUGGGACUGAGACACGGCCCAAACUCCUACGGGAGGCAGCAGUGGGGAAUAUUGCACAAUGGGGGAAACCCUGAUGCAGCGACGCCGCGUGAGUGAAGAAGUAUCUCGGUAUGUAAAGCUCUAUCAGCAGGGAAGAAAAUGACGGUACCUGACUAAGAAGCCCCGGCUAACUACGUGCCAGCAGCCGCGGUAAUACGUAGGGGGCAAGCGUUAUCCGGAAUUACUGGGUGUAAAGGGUGCGUAGGUGGUAUGGCAAGUCAGAAGUGAAAACCCAGGGCUUAACUCUGGGACUGCUUUUGAAACUGUCAGACUGGAGUGCAGGAGAGGUAAGCGGAAUUCCUAGUGUAGCGGUGAAAUGCGUAGAUAUUAGGAGGAACAUCAGUGGCGAAGGCGGCUUACUGGACU